rnacentral:rRNA from 1 species
UUGCCUGGCGAAGCCUGGAUCAGCCAUGCCGCGGGCUGUGAAGAAGGCCUUCGGGAUUGUAAAGCACUUUCAGCGAGGAGGAAGGGUUUGAGGUUAAUACCCUCGUUCAUUGACGUUACCCGCAGAAGAAGCACCGGCUAACUCCGUGCCAGCAGCCGCGGUAAUACGGAGGGUGCAAGCGUUAAUCGGAAUUACUGGGCGUAAAGCGCACGCAGGCGGUUUGUCAAGUCGGAUGUGAAAUCCCCGGGCUCAACCUGGGAACUGCAUUCGAAACUGGCAAGCUAGAGUCUUGUAGAGGGGGGUAGAAUUCCAGGUGUAGCGGUGAAAUGCGUAGAGAUCUGGAGGAAUACCGGUGGCGAAGGCGGCCCCCUGGACAAAGACUGACGCUCAGGUGCGAAAGCGUGGGGAGCAAACAGGAUUAGAUACCCUGGUAGUCCACGCCGUAAACGAUGUCGACUUGGAGGUUGUGCCCUUGAGGCGUGGCUUCCGGAGCUAACGCGUUAAGUCGACCGCCUGGGGAGUACGGCCGCAAGGUUAAAACUCAAAUGAAUUGACGGGGGCCCGCACAAGCGGUGGAGCAUGUGGUUUAAUUCGAUGCAACGCGAAGAACCUUACCUACUCUUGACAUCCAGAGAACUUACCAGAGAUGCUUUGGUGCCUUCGGGAACUCUGAGACAGGUGCUGCAUGGCUGUCGUCAGCUCGUGUUGUGAAAUGUUGGGUUAAGUCCCGCAACGAGCGCAACCCUUAUCCUUUGUUGCCAGCGCGUCAUGCUGGAACUGCUAAGAAAACGGCCGUUAAAAACUCGAAGAAAGGUGGGAUUAACUUCAAGUCUUCUUGGCCCUAACAGUACGGCUUCCCCACUGGUUAAGUGGCUAUACAAAAAGAAUCCCCAUCCCCAAAACGAACCGACCCCGAAAAUACGUUCUAAUGCCGAAUCGAAUUUCCACUCCACUCCUGAAAUGCGAAUCCCUCCUAUCCGGAAUCAAACUGCCCGGGCAUUACUUUCCUGGCUUUUAACGCCCCCCCUCCCCCUGGGGAAUGGGUGCCAAAAAAAUUGUUCUUAACCUCCGGAGGCCUUCCCUGGUUAGUUAA